CACUCUUAGAGUUGUAAGCCCUUAAAAGGGACAGGGAUUGCUUACUUGGGAGCUCAGUUUUUUGAGACGUAACUCUGCCGACGCGCCUGGCCAAAUAAAGCCCUCUCCUUCCUCAACUCGGUGUCUGUGGCUCGUCCUGCUACAAUGCAUCUACCCAUACAGAUGGUGUCCGGAAUUUCAAAUAAUACUGAGUUAUGGGAAUUGCCACAGUAAGUAAAGAUCUACAGUCGGGGAAAAGGAUUUAUAAGGCGUAUGUUUUAUAGCUCCUGUAUGAGUAGGCUUUUGAUGCAUCAUAUACAUGCUUUGAAGGUAGUAUUAUGCAGGGUACUAAAUUGAGUUAUACUUACAGUCAAUGAAUAUCAUUUGACCAAUGACAUUUUAGAAAAAUAUCUAUAUAAUUUUCCAAGGCCAUGUCUUAGAAAUUUUGCUCUGAGUCUUAUAUCUGAACAUCUCAGAGAAUUUUUAGAGAAAACAAUUUCACAGAUAAUGAUAAUUAGAUACCUUCACUUUGCAAAUAUAUGAACUGCCUUUUGAAUGGCCCUUUUAGUAAAAUGAGAUUGAUUACGUCCUCUUCAUAGCAGAGAUUUUACCACAAAACAUCAAUCUAUUAUGAAAAGUACAUACGUGUAACCUGGUAUCCUUGCUUGGCAGGGUGAUGUUACAUUUAGGUACAUGAACUACCUACUGUGAUAAGCUCCCUAUCUCUUCAAAUAUUAACUCUCCUGCUCAUUCCUGUCUGAUGCCUGAAAUUCCUUUAAUAUUACAAAAAGCUUAAUCAAUUUAUUAAUAAUCCUACAUUUUCUUGCAUUAUUGCUGCCCAGUGAUCUGGAUUGUUUGUGGUUGUUGAUUGGAAAACUAAAAAGUCUUAGAAAAUAUCAUUCUAAUGUUAUUGUAUCACAGUGAAUUACCCACAUACAAGCACAAAGUAAAGCUGUAAAGCAAUUAAUUCAGUUCUUCAAAUAAACCAAAAAAAGAAGACAGUGAAUGAUAACUAUCAGUUUCUUUCUUAAUUUGAUGGAUGAAUUUAUUCACUCUCCAUUUUUCUCUCCCAGCCUAUUUGUGGUUUUGUAGCAAAAAGAUUUCUACAUGGCUUUUUCUGUAAUUAUUUUGUGAAAACCCACAAUAUAAAAGAAACUGACUUAUUUUAAGAAUAAUGGAACUUCCUCUUUUCAGAAGGGUCUGAAGCAAUUUUUCUCUUUAAGCAAAACCUCUGUUCUAUGGUUCACGUUCAGAUGUGGCCUUCAUUCAAACAUACUUCCCUUCUUAGCUGCUGAUGAAAGCAUGUGGCAACAUUUCUGCCUUGGCAAAUUUAAAUCAUCUCCCUUAAGGUGAGGGUAGGUAAAUACCUUAGCAAGUUAUCUCUUUUAUACAAACAGACUUAUUUUGGCACAGUGUAUAAUUGUAUACAUACAAUUGUAUAAAUACUAUUUUAAAAUGCUAGAUUUUUUUCCCCAUGCACACUGAAUUGAAUUCAUUGUAACGUGAAAAUGACUGACAUGUAAUUCUUUUCUCAGAGCAACAUUAACCAUAAAAAUGGAGACAGAGCAACAAACUCCUGGGUGACUACAAGUCAGGAAAGGGAAAAACACCGUAGGGGUAGAAUUUACAGAAGUCUUAUUUUAAAUACAAUUUUGCCUCAAAAGAUGGGCCAUAGAAGGGAGGUGUGUAUUCCACUCUCCUUGUAAAAUAUGAGUUUUUAAAUCUAUAAGUAGGAAGAGAUGUACAACACAUACUAAUGAAGAAAUCUGUUGCCACGUUUUAAGUAUUAAAAAAAAGGCAUGUCUAUAUCUGGUGGGAUUUUUUUUUAAUGACUUAAUUUAUUCCUACUGCAAUAAAUUAGGCUAUUCAAGCAAUCCAGGGUCCAUCCAUCUAUUAAUAGUAUCAAGCUUUUAAAAUGUAAAGCUUUUAGUUUUGCUGCUUCUAAAAUCAUAUAGUGCUUUCAUUCUAAUUUAUGUUGAUUCAGUUCAAAUAAUAGAAAUUUUGAAUGACAUCAUGGCUAUUUUGACACGUAUACAGACUAUAGUAAAGUGGUUUUGGACGUGUGUUCAGAAUUCUAUAAGCAGGGGAAAAAUAAAAAUAAUGGAUUCCUAAUUUACAAUGGUUGCUCUUUGCAAUAAAUAAUGUUAUAAGCAAUUAUUUUAUAAGAUCCUUAUGUAAUCAGUAAAAUAUGCAAUAAAAUUAUAAAGAUGCUGAACCUCCUAUCAAGUUUAGUUAUCAUAUCAAAAUUCUUGCAAAAAGAUGCUACAUUUCAUUUAUUUAGAAAAAAAAGAACAAUGAUAUUGUCAAGAUAGAUAAUUUUGAAUUCUGAUUUACAAACAUUCAGUG
rnacentral:lncRNA from 10 species